rnacentral:lncRNA from 1 species
CUGUUGAGUUUCUUUGCUUGAGCUGUUCUUGCCCUGUAGAGUGUACUUUCGUUUUCAAUAAAUCUCUGCUUUUGUUGCUUUAUUCUUUCCUUGUUUUGUCUGUAUGUUUUGUCCAAGACGCCGAGAAGCUGGGCACCCUCCACCGUUAACAGUCCGGCUGCAGCAUAGUGAGUAACGCAGUGGGUUAGGACGAGCGUGAGGUCAGAGACAGGCAGGAGUCAAGAAGUGCUGGAAGCAGAGAAGUGAUUUAAUCUGUUUUUAAAGCUCUCUCUGGCUGCUGUGCGGAGAUUGGAUGAUAGGAAGGACAAAAGUAGAAUUAGGAAGACAAGCUAGGAGGUUAUCUCCCUGGUAAGAGAUGCCGUUGAUCAGCCUGGGGCAGUGGCUGCGGAGAUGCACAGAUGUGUGGCAUCAGUGAAUCUUAGACCUUUUCCGCCAUUGAAAUUACAUAGGGAGUUAAAACACGCACAGACUUCUGGACCUUACCUUUGCAGAGCCUUGUGAAAGGCAAAUAAAUCUUGGGGCCCCAAAAUCACUAAGCUAAAGGGAAAAGUAAGUCAAGCUGGGAACUGCUUAGGGCAAACCUGCCUCCCGUUCUAUUCAAAGUCACCCCUCUGCUCACUGAGAUAAAUGCAUACCUGAUUGCCUCCUUUGGAGACGCUAAUCAGAAACUAAAAAUACAAAAAAUGCAACCAUUUGUUUCUUUUUUCUUUCUUUUUUUUUUUUUUUUUUUUUGAGACGGAGUCUCACUCUGUCGCCCAGGCUGGAGUACAGCGGUGCGAUCUCGGCUCACUGCAAACUCCGCGUCCCGGGUUGAAGCCAUUCUCCUGCCUCAGCCUCCCGAGUAACUGGGACUACAGGCACCAGCCACCAUACCCGGCUAAUUUUUUUUUUUUUUUUUUUUUUGUAUUUUUAGUAGAGACGGGGUUUCACCGUGUUAGCCAGGGUAGUCUCGAUCUCCUGACCUCGUGAUCCGCCCACCUCGGCCUCCCAAAGUGCUGGGAUUACAGGCGUGAGCCACCGCGCCUGGCCUCAACCAUUUGUUUCUUAUCUACCUAUCACCAGGAAGCCCCUUCCCAGCUUCGAGUUGUCCAGCCUUUCCAGACCGAACCAAUAUUCAUCUCACAUAUGUUGAUUGAUGCCUCAUGUCUCCCCAAAAUGUAUAAAACCAAACUGCGCUCCGACCACCUUGGGCACAGGUUGUCAGGACCUCCUGAGCUUGUGCCACAGGCACAUCCUCAAUCUUGGUGAAAUAAACUUUCUAAAUUAACUGAGACCUGUCUCAGAUAUUCGGGGUUUACAGCCUCAAUGCCUAAGGAAUCUAUACUUUUUACAAGCCCCCUGGGAUGUGCUGCUUCGUCUCCGGGUACCCACUUGUCUACUGGUCGUAAAGGGGUAAGUGUGGCCGGGCUUGGUGGCUCAUGCCUGUAAUCCCAGCACUUUGGGAGGCCAAGGUGGGCGGAUCACUUGAGUUUAGGAGUUCGAGAUCAGGUUGGGCAACACGGUGAAACCCUGUCUUCACAAGACAAAUACAAAAAAUUAGCCGAGCCUGGUGGCAUGUGCCUGUAGUCCAAGCUAUUCAAGAGGCUGAGGUGGUAGGAUUACCUGAGCCCAGGAGGACGAGGCUGCAGUAAGCCAUAAUCGUGUCAUUGUACUCCAGCCUGGGUGACAAAGACUCUGUCUCGAAAAAAAUAAAAAUAAAAAAAGGUGCGUGUGAUGAUGCAGAAAGAGGAGCACUGGGGAUGGGAGAGGGGGAGUCCCUGUCGUUUUGGAUUCUAGUCCCAGUUACGGGUCUGUUUGGGGGGCUCGGUGGCCCCAAGUGAUCAUCAGGGAUAGCAAUGCCUAUCUCGAAGAUGGGCUGAAAGUGAGGAAUACAUAACAUAGUAUUUGUAAAGCACUCAGCAAAGGACCAGCCGAAGCACUCGGGCUAUUUCUGGUAAAGGGUGCAGGCUCUGGGGUAAAUCGCGUGCAGUUGGAACACACAUCGGCUUUGCAGCCAUCUGCUAAUGUGAAUUCCAUUCCUUUUGGGGCCUCGAUUUCCUCCUCCAUAAACUGGUAUCCACAAUGCCAACCUUGUGAACGCUGUGAGAAUGCGCGGGGUAAAGGCGACGUCUCUCCCUCCCGGGAAGAACUUGGAUGGUGUCAGGCCUACACUCUCGCUCCGCCUAGGGCCGCUCGCUGGGCCUGGCUCCCCGGCUGCCGGGCUACGCGAGCUCAGAGGACACCAUCGCCCUCUUAUGGCCGCGGCAGGACUGGACCGAGGGGCUGGGCUCUAGUGCCUUCCUCCAGGCACGGCAGAGGGCGAGGGUCUGGCAGCCCGCUUACCCAGGGCCUCGGGGCACUAGCAUUCAUGUCAUCGACUGCCUGGCAGGGCUGGCUUUCUUAAGUGUGGUCGUGAGACUUGCUUAAGUGGAAGAAAUGCUGUCGCUUUGGAGAUUUAUAAAACAAUUGGCUCGAUGGAUCUUUCUUCAGGAGGCGGACUUGGUUUACCGGCUUUACUGACCACAGCUG